UACGUAGGGUCCGAGCGUUGUCCGGAGUUACUGGGCGUAAAGGGCGCGCAGGUGGCGGUGUUGGCCCGGCGUGAAAGCCCCCGGCUCAACCGGGGAGGUCGUCGGGGACCGCACCGCUUGAGGGCGGUAGGGGCUGGUGGAAUGCCUGGUGUAGUGGUGAAAUGCGUAGAGAUCAGGCGGAACACCCGUAGCGAAGGCGGCCAGCUGGGCCGAUACUGACGCUGAGGAGCGAAAGCGUGGGGAGCGAACAGG
rnacentral:rRNA from 1 species